UCCCUGGUAGUCCAGUGGCUAGGACUCCUUGAAUGCAACGCAGGGGGCCUGGGUUUGAUCCCUGGUCUGGGAA
rnacentral:tRNA from 1 species